rnacentral:rRNA from 1 species
GUCUGCAACUCGACUACAUGAAGCUGGAAUCGCUAGUAAUCGCGAAUCAGAAUGUCGCGGUGAAUACGUUCCCGGGUCUUGUACACACCGCCCGUCACACCAUGGGAGUCAGUAACGCCCGAAGCCGGUGACCUAACCGAAAGGGGAGGAGCCGUCGAAGGUGGGACCGAUAACUGGGGGUGAAGUCGUAACAAGGUAUC